GAUCAUGGAAGAGCUAAGUACUUAAGCAGUCUAAUUGACUCACCUCCUCUUUUCUUGAAUCCUACCUUGUGUGCAGCUUCCAUUCACUUUAAUUUAAAAUGAAAAUGUUCUUUAAACACUAAGAAAGAUUUUAGAUAAAACAUGACUUCUCUAAUAACGCUUUAAUGUGACACGCUAGAUUCGGUUGUAAUGUCUAGGCCGGGUUUGGGGUGUUACAUUUUGGGCCUCGUAUGCCCAUAUUAAGGAC
rnacentral:lncRNA from 1 species